AGAGUUUGAUCAUGGCUCAGAAUGAACGCUGGCGGCGUGCCUAACACAUGCAAGUCGAACGAGAAAGUCCGAGCUUGCUCGGACGAGUAAAGUGGCGCACGGGUGAGUAACGCGUGGGUAACCUGCCCUUGAAACCGGAAUAACUUCGCGAAAGCGUUGCUAAUACCGGAUAUUGUCCUUUUUGCUGUGGCAUUAAGGAUGAAAGGUGACCUCUUCAUGAAAGUUGCCGUUGAAGGAGGGGCUCGCGUACCAUUAGCUUGUUGGUAGGGUAACGGCCUACCAAGGCUGCGAUGGUUAGCUGGUUUGAGAGGAUGAUCAGCCACACUGGAACUGAAACACGGUCCAGACUCCUACGGGAGGCAGCAGUGAGGAAUUUUGCGCAAUGGGGGAAACCCUGACGCAGCAACGCCGCGUGAGUGAAGAAGGCUUUCGGGUCGUAAAGCUCUGUCAAGUGGGAAAAAAGCCUUUUGAUCAAUAGUCAAAGGGUCUGAUGGUACCACUGGAGGAAGCACCGGCUAACUCCGUGCCAGCAGCCGCGGUAAUACGGAGGGUGCAAGCGUUGUUCGGAAUUAUUGGGCGUAAAGAGCGUGUAGGCGGUUUGGUCAGUCAGAUGUGAAAGCCCUGGGCUCAACCCAGGAAGUGCAUUUGAUACUGCCUGACUAGAGUAUGGGAGAGGAGAGUGGAAUUCCCAGUGUAGAGGUGAAAUUCGUAGAUAUUGGGAGGAACACCCGUGGCGAAGGCGACUCUCUGGACCAAUACUGACGCUGAGGCGCGAAAGCGUGGGGAGCGAACAGGAUUAGAUACCCUGGUAGUCCACGCCGUAAACGAUGAGAACUAGGUGUAGCGGGUAUUGACCCCUGCUGUGCCGGAGCUAACGCAUUAAGUUCUCCGCCUGGGGAGUACGGUCGCAAGGCUAAAACUCAAAGGAAUUGACGG
rnacentral:rRNA from 1 species